GAUGAACGCUGGCGGUCUGCUUAACACAUGCAAGUCGAACGGAACUCUUCGGAGUUUAGUGGCGGACGGGUGAGUAACGCGUGAGAAUCUGCCUUCAGGUUGGGGACAACAGUUGGAAACGACUGCUAAUACCCAAUGUGCCGAGAGGUGAAAGCUUUAGUGCCUGAAGAUGAGCUCGCGUCUGAUUAGCUAGUUGGUGAGGUAAUGGCUUACCAAGGCGACGAUCAGUAGCUGGUCUGAGAGGAUGAUCAGCCACACUGGGACUGAGACACGGCCCAGACUCCUACGGGAGGCAGCAGUGGGGAAUUUUCCGCAAUGGGCGCAAGCCUGACGGAGCAAGACCGCGUGAGGGAGGAAGGCUCUUGGGUUGUAAACCUCUUUUAUCAGGGAAGAAGAUCUGACGGUACCUGAUGAAUCAGCAUCGGCUAACUCCGUGCCAGCAGCCGCGGUAAUACGGAGGAUGCAAGCGUUAUCCGGAUUUAUUGGGCGUAAAGCGUCCGCAGGUGGUUUUUCAAGUCUGCUGUUAAAGCGCAGAGCUUAACUCUGUAACGGCGGUGGAAACUGAGAGACUAGAGUAUGGUAGGGGUAGCGGGAAUUCCCAGUGUAGCGGUGAAAUGCGUAGAUAUUGGGAAGAACACCAGCGGCGAAAGCGCGCUACUGGGCCAUAACUGACACUCAUGGACGAAGCUAGGGGAGCGAAAGGGAUUAGAUACCCCUGUAGUCCUAGCUGUAAACGAUGGGUACUAGGUGUUGACCG
rnacentral:rRNA from 1 species